rfam:Musa acuminata subsp. malaccensis Doubled-haploid Pahang (DH-Pahang) genomic chromosome, chr8
GGUUUCAUGGUGUAGUGGUUAGCACUCCAGACUUUGAAUCUGGCGACCUGGGUUCAAAUCCCGGUGAGACCU